ensembl:snRNA U2 U2 spliceosomal RNA
CUCGCUUCUCGGCCUUUCGGCUAAGAUCAAGUGUGGUAUCUGUUCUUAUCAGUUUAAUAUCUGAUAUGUCCUCUAUCCAAGGAAAAUAUAUUGAACGGAUUUUUGGAGCAGGCAGUUGGAAUAGGAGCUUGCUAUGUGUGGAUGUGUGUCCCCUCCACAUGUCGACCUGGUAUUGCAGUACCCCCAGGAAUGGUGCACCCCCU